rnacentral:rRNA from 1 species
UACGUAGGGUGCGAGCGUUGUCCGGAAUUAUUGGGCGUAAAGGGCUCGUAGGCGGUUUGUCGCGUCGGGAGUGAAAUCCACUGGCUUAACUGGUGGCUUGCUUUCGAUACGGGCAGACUGGAGGUAUGCAGGGGAGAACGGAAUUCCUGGUGUAGCGGUGAAAUGCGCGGAUAUCAGGAGGAACACCGGUGGCGAAGGCGGGUCUCUGGGCCGAUACUGACGCUGAGGAGCGAAAGCGUGGGGAGCGAACAGG